AAGGAUCUACUCUAUACCUUCCUCCCCCCCUGUUAAGUGGGGUAGUGGUGUGACCAUUUAGUACUGCCCUUAUCAGCAACACCUGCUUGAGCUGCCCCGAAGGGAGCCCUGAUACACUGGGAAGCAAGGAAGUGAAUAUAAAGAGCAGGGCUGGCAAACACCACCCAGCAGAGAGAUGCAUCCAGCACACAGCAACACCAAAUGCAUCCAGGUGGUAGAUCUAGGGAAAAGAAACUGAACAAAACAAGUGGAUUUAGUAUCUUGUUUCUGUAGGAAGAAAAAAUAUUUUCUUCUGCCCCGAGCCUGCAGAACUGCUGUGAAGAUUAAGAAGAAACCGCGGUCUCUGGCAGGGGUUCGCGCACGGCCCCGGGAAGUGUGAGGUGGCUUUGGAGACACAAGUGGGGCUUUUGCAGGAGCCCGGGGCUGUUGCUGAGGCGGAUAGGGCUGGGGCAGAGCCUGCAGAGAAACGCCGUGCUUCGGUUUCAGGGCCGGCUCGGCAGCGCUGCCCUCGUUGGCUGCACUCUUGCCCCGUCAGCGCCGCUGCCCGCCGUGAACUUUCUCCCCGGUGAGUCACUCCCCGCCGCGCCCGGCGCCAAGGUCCCCUGCCCCGGCCCGCCAGCGCCAUGGCUGCGGGGAGCCCCGCGCCCGCCCUUCCCGCGUCCCAGCGCCUCCGCGCGCUGCUCUACGCCGUGCAGCCCAGCGAGAGCUCCUUCCGCAGCCUGCACGAGGUGCCCAGCUACGUGGACCAGGUUGUUCCACUAUUCGUUGUCUUUAUUCUUCUGGAGCUUGUUGUCAGCAGUAUUCAGAGGCACAAGCUGUCAUAUCGGAUCAAUGAUGCUAUAAGCUCUCUCUCUGCGGGUAUCCUGUCUCAGCUUCCUGAGGCUGUGUGCAGAGGUUUUGAGCUAACCGGUUAUGUCUACAUAUGGGAAAACUACAGACUCUAUGAACUGCCAUGGGACUCACCAUGGACAUGGUAUUUGACACUACUGGGAGUAGACUUUACAUAUUACUGGUUCCAUCGCCUGGCUCAUGAGGUGAAUAUAUUAUGGGCAACACACCAAACACAUCAUAGUUCUGAAGAUUACAACUUAUCCACAGCGCUGAGACAAUCUGCAGUGCAGAAAUAUAUUUCUUGGGUGUUCUACUUGCCUAUGGCUCUUAUUAUUCCUCCAUCGGUAUGUGCUGUUCAUCUACAGUUUAAUCUUCUUUAUCAGUUUUGGAUUCAUACAGAGGUAAUUGACAACCUUGGACCUCUGGAGUGGAUUCUUAAUACACCCAGUCAUCACAGAGUUCAUCAUGGGAGAAAUCCUUACUGUAUUGAUAAAAAUUAUGGUGGCACCCUCAUUAUCUGGGAUAGAAUUUUUGGAACAUUUGAGGCAGAGAAAGAAAAAGUUAUAUAUGGCCUAACACACCCUAUAAAUACAUUUGAACCCUUCAAGGUCCAGUUGCAUCACUUCACCUAUAUAUGGAGUGUAUUUUGGGCCACACCUGGUUUCUCCAAUAAGCUGUCUGUCAUAUUCAAAGGGCCAGGCUGGGGACCAGGAAAACCAAGACUUGGCCUUUCUGAGGAAAUCCCAGUGAUCACUGGAAAAGAGGUUCCCUUCAACCCAAAAUUGCCAGUUCAUCUUUGUGUCUAUGCAGUCAUACAUUUUGCCUUGAUUGUGACAUUGUAUAUUGACCUCUUUGCUGCUGCAGCUACGUUAUCGCAGGUAACAGUUCUCCUGAGGAUUGGCUAUAUUAUCCUAACAUUGACCUCCAUGGGAUUGCUUAUGGACAAAAGACCUGAAGCAGCUAGAUGGGAAACUGUCCGUUGCACAGUUUUUCUAGCUCUGCAGAAACUUGGUUAUAUAAAAACUUAUCCACCCUUGAUGUUUGCUUAUGAGAUUUCAAGAGAAAACGAGCACAUUUUUUAUUCUGAUCUGAAAAAUAAGCAAAUCUAAUUAUAGAAAAGAUGGGUAGCAGUUUUCCACCUUAGGAAUGAGAGUGGAGAAGACUGAGGCUCCCUACCAAUCUUUACAAUUGCUGAGGUGGUUGCAAGGACUCCUUUAGUUGCUGGCUACAAUUCUUCAAGCAAAAUGACUCAGAUUGGGUGGAUCUGAUGGGGAAUUAUUGAAAAGAUGAAAGAUACAACCCUUGGGGCAUCAUUGUCCUUUUGCCAGUCUCACACCCUUUGCUUCAGUUUAGUUAAUUUUUUUCAUUGACUCUCUCAAGUGGAAAAAAGAGGAGCUACUUCCUAUGCAGCAGUAGAUUAGAAGUCAGCUAGAGCUUGAGUCUUUCGCUACUGGAACACUAGCUAAUUGCUCUUCCAUUUUGGUUUGCUAGAUAUAUUGAGGCAACAGCUGCUUUAAACAAUUCCAUGGUCAUUACAGUAGGCAUUACAUUUUUCACUGAUUCAAAAGACAGCAUUCAGUUGGAUCACUGAGAACUGUCACCAAUUAUCACACAGACUGAGGGAGUUUUAGACUGCAACUGGAAUCACAUUUCAUUUCAUCUUAUUACACCCUGGGACUCAGGUGAUGACCCAAUCUUAAUAUUAUGGAUAACGGCUACACAAGUUUUGUGUUUUAUUUUCGCUCUGCAUUGUGUUCUGGGGAGUGCAAAUUAUGAAGCAGCUGACCUCAAGCACAGCUAAGCGGCUUUAAAA